GACGAACGCUGGCGGUAUGCUUAACACAUGCAAGUCGAACGAGAAGUCUUUUAUUGAACCUUCGGGGGAUAUAAGAGACAGACAGUGGCGAACGGGUGAGUAACGCGUGGGCAACCUACCUAUCGGAGCGGGAUAGCCUCGAGAAAUCGGGAGUAAAACCGCAUAACACGGAUAUAUCGCAUGAUGAAUCCGUCAAAACUCCGGUGCCGAUAGAUGGGCCCGCGUCUGAUUAGCUAGUUGGUAAGGUAAGGGCUUACCAAGGCAACGAUCAGUAGCCGGUCUGAGAGGGCGAACGGCCACACUGGAACUGAGACACGGUCCAGACCCCUACGGGAGGCAGCAGUGGGGAAUAUUGCGCAAUGGGGGCAACCCUGACGCAGCAAUACCGCGUGAGUGAAGAAGGUUUUCGGAUCGUAAAGCUCUGUUAUUGGGGAAGAAGCAGUGACGGUACCCAAUGAGGAAGUCCCGGCUAACUACGUGCCAGCAGCCGCGGUAAUACGUAGGGGACGAGCGUUGUCCGGAAUCACUGGGCGUAAAGGGCGCGUAGGCGGUUUUAUAAGUCAGAUGUGAAAGGUACCGGCUCAACCGGUGACGUGCAUUUGAAACUGUAAGACUUGAGUACUGAAGAGGCAAGCGGAAUUCCUAGUGUAGCGGUGAAAUGCGUAGAUAUUAGGAAGAACACCGGUGGCGAAGGCGGCUUGCUGGGCAGAUACUGACGCUGAGGUGCGAAAGCGUGGGGAGCGAACAGG
rnacentral:rRNA from 1 species